rnacentral:rRNA from 1 species
GGAAGCGGCUGUGGAGUUUACAGAAGUGAGAAUGCCGGAAUGAGUAGCGCGAAUGUGGUGAGAAUCCACAUGGCCGGAAACCUCAGGUUUUUGGAGGAAGGUUCGUCCGCUCCAAGUUAGGCGGGAGCUAAGGUCAGGCCGAAAGGCGUAGCCGAUGCACAAACGGUUGAUAUUCCGUUACCGUCUACAAUUUAAACAAGGGGACACAUACAAAGCGUUUAACCCGGGCGAUGGUUGACCCGGGCGCAAGGGACUGAAAUUAGAGUAGGGAAGUAAAUGUAGCGUAUGGCGAGAAAAGCUUUGUGUAUAGAAGUAGACGCCCGUACCGCAAACCGACACAGGUGGACAGGAAGAGAAUUCUAAGGCCAGCGGGAGAAGGGUAGUUAAGGAACUCGGCAAAUUGACUCCGUAACUUCGGAAUAAGGAGUGCUCGAAAGAGCCGCAGAGAAUAGGCCCAGGCGACUGUUUAGCAAAAACACAGGUCUCUGCCAAAUCGAAAGAUGAAGUAUAGGGGCUGACACCUGCCCGGUGCCGGAAGGUUAAGAGGAGGAGUGCAAGCUCCGAAUUGAAGCCCCGGUAAACGGCGGCCGUAACUAUAACGGUCCUAAGGUAGCGAAAUUCCUUGUCGGGUAAGUUCCGACCCGCACGAAUGGUGUAACGAUCUGGGCACUGUCUCAACUACCCACCCGGCGAAAUUGUAGUACCGGUGAAGAUGCCGGUUACCUGCGGCAAGACGGAAAGACCCCAUGGAGCUUUACUGUAGCCUGAUAUUGGGUUUCGGAAAUCUAUGUACAGGAUAGGCGGGAGACUGGGAAGUAUGAGCGUCAGCUUAUACGGAGUCAUUGUUGGGAUACCGCCCUUAGGUUUCUGGAAUUCUAACCUGCGACCGUGAAUCCGGUCGGGGGACAUUGUCAGGUGGGCAGUUUGACUGGGGCGGUCGCCUCCGAAAAGGUAACGGAGGCGCUCAAAGGUUGGCUCAGCACGGACGGAAACCGUGCCUCAGAGUGUAAACGCAAAAGCCAGCCUAACUGCGAGGAUGACGGUCCGAGCAGUAACGAAAGUUGGAGUUAGUGAUCCGGCGGUAUGUGAAUGGAAAUGCCGUCGCUCAACGGAUAAAAGCUACCCUGGGGAUAACAGGCUGAUCUCCCCCAA